ACUAGUGAUUUCCCUAGGUGAACCUGCGGAAGGAUCAUUUACACGAUGUCCACUUUACAAACUGAAUUUAGUUGUGAGCUAGGUUCGUCCGGCUCAGGGGUAGGCGGUGCUCGGCCGUCUGCCAUGUGCUCACCACUUGUAAACCUAUUCUGGGAUUUUUAGCUAAAGUGAAAUUCAUUUAUUCACAACUUUUAGCGAUGGAUGCCUCGGCUCGAGUAACGAUGAAGGACGCAGCAAAAUGCGAUAAGCGCCGUGAAUGGCAGAAUUCCGCGGAUCAAGAGAAUGCUGAACGCACACUGCACUUCCAGGUUAUUCCUGAAAGUAUGUCUGCUUCAGGGCGUUAACAAUUCAAAUGCUGUCAAAGGCAACACUGUUGCUGGCGACAUGCGUCGUGGUGCGUCAUUGCAGGCCAGGCCCAAUGACGCAUGACAUUCAGAUGAUGCUUUGAAAUCUAAGCUUCCGCUUGGUGAGAGUUUCUCUUUUCUUGGCGGUAAGUGGGUGAUUGGAAGCUCUCUUUGAAAGCUCAGAAACGAUUUUCGAAUCGUUGCUUUGCGCAUGAAGUUAGACAAGGCUACCCGCUGAAUUUAAGCAUAUCA
rnacentral:rRNA from 1 species